AGUGAACGCUGGCGGUAGGCCUAACACAUGCAAGUCGAACGGCAGCACAGUAAGAGCUUGCUCUUACGGGUGGCGAGUGGCGGACGGGUGAGGAAUACAUCGGAAUCUACUUUUUCGUGGGGGAUAACGUAGGGAAACUUACGCUAAUACCGCAUACGACCUACGGGUGAAAGCAGGGGAUCUUCGGACCUUGCGCGAUUGAAUGAGCCGAUGUCGGAUUAGCUAGUUGGCGGGGUAAAGGCCCACCAAGGCGACGAUCCGUAGCUGGUCUGAGAGGAUGAUCAGCCACACUGGAACUGAGACACGGUCCAGACUCCCACGGGAGGCAGCAGUGGGGAAUAUUGGACAAUGGGCGCAAGCCUGAUCCAGCCAUACCGCGUGGGUGAAGAAGGCCUUCGGGUUGUAAAGCCCUUUUGUGGGGAAAGAAAAGCAGCAGGUUAAUACCCCGCUGUUCUGACGGUACCCAAAGAAUAAGCACCGGCUAACUUCGUG
rnacentral:rRNA from 1 species